rnacentral:rRNA from 1 species
GACGAACGCUGGCGGCGUGCCUAAUACAUGCAAGUCGAACGCUUCUUUCCUCCCGAGUGCUUGCACUCAAUUGGAAAGAGGAGUGGCGGACGGGUGAGUAACACGUGGGUAACCUACCCAUCAGAGGGGGAUAACACUUGGAAACAGGUGCUAAUACCGCAUAACAGUUUAUGCCGCAUGGCAUAAGAGUGAAAGGCGCUUUCGGGUGUCGCUGAUGGAUGGACCCGCGGUGCAUUAGCUAGUUGGUGAGGUAACGGCUCACCAAGGCCACGAUGCAUAGCCGACCUGAGAGGGUGAUCGGCCACACUGGGACUGAGGCACGGCCCAGACUCCUACGGGAGGCAGCAGUAGGGAAUCUUCGGCAAUGGACGAAAGUCUGACCGAGCAACGCCGCGUGAGUGAAGAAGGUUUUCGGAUCGUAAAACUCUGUUGUUAGAGAAGAACAAGGACGUUAGUAACUGAACGUCCCCUGACGGUAUCUAAACAGAAAGCCACGGCUAACUACGUG